AGGCCUAAUACAUGCAAGUCGAACGGCUCUUCGGAGCAGUGGCGGACGGGUGAGUAACGCGUGGGAACGUGCCCUUUGGUUCGGAACAACACAGGGAAACUUGUGCUAAUACCGAAUGUGCCCUUCGGGGGAAAGAUUUAUCGCCAUUGGAGCGGCCCGCGUUGGAUUAGCUAGUUGGUGGGGUAAAGGCCCACCAAGGCGACGAUCCAUAGCUGGUCUGAGAGGAUGAUCAGCCACACUGGGACUGAGACACGGCCCAGACUCCUACGGGAGGCAGCAGUAGGGAAUCUUGCGCAAUGGGCGAAAGCCUGACGCAGCCAUGCCGCGUGAAUGAUGAAGGUCUUAGGAUUGUAAAAUUCUUUCACCGGGGAAGAUAAUGACGGUACCCGGAGAAGAAGCCCCGGCUAACUUCGUGCCAGCAGCCGCGGUAAUACGAAGGGGGCUAGCGUUGCUCGGAAUUACUGGGCGUAAAGGGCGCGUAGGCGGACAGUUUAGUCAGAGGUGAAAGCCCAGGGCUCAACCUUGGAAUUGCCUUUGAUACUGGCUGUCUUGAGUUCGGGAGAGGUGAGUGGAAUGCCGAGUGUAGAGGUGAAAUUCGUAGAUAUUCGGCGGAACACCAGUGGCGAAGGCGACUCACUGGCCCGAUACUGACGCUGAGGCGCG
rnacentral:rRNA from 1 species